CUGUCAACAAAUUCACCAGCAAAAUAAAGGGGCUAACACAUUAAUGAGAUUUCCUGAGACUGCCCUGUAGAGAUGCUUGCAAUCCUUUGCUCUGGAGAAGCCAGGCACCAUGGCAUGAGGCAGCCCUGUGGAGAGGUUCAUGUGGUACAGGACCAGGCCUGCAGCAUCACUUGAGAGAGGCAACAUAACUCUUUUACUGACUAUCACAGAUAGGACCACAAAACAGCCUUGUAAACUCAUCCUAGAGGAUCUAAAAGAGAACCCCCUCAUAACAGAAUGGCAUUCCCAGCUUGCAGGCUCUGAGACUCCAUUGAGUCAUGCCACAUGUAUGGAAAAUGAUUUUUGGAGUGUUAUUCUAUCUAAGGAAAAACAAAGCAAAUUUUCCACUUUCAAGAUUAAAGGACAUUCUGUCUACAUUAAGACAAGCAGGCUAUGAAUGGGUUUGUAUUCAGAGCACUUUGCA
rnacentral:lncRNA from 1 species